rfam:Cricetulus griseus cell line CHO-K1, whole genome shotgun sequence.
GGCUACAUAGCUUAGGGGUCAGAGCACUGGUCUUGUAAACCAGGGAUUGUGAGUUCAAAUUUCAUUGGGACCU